CUAAAAGGGAGACUAGAGUGGACCUGGAGCUGGAGGGGGUCUGUGAGGUCGAGAGAAGGAUUCUUUGUUACUGCCGAGAGAUGAUGGCAUGCACGGCUGUUUCUGCACCAGCAGCAGAGCCGAACGAUUGCAACAGAAACUGGAGAGUCGGCAAAGCCCAAGGUGUUUACUAUCCGGCCACUUAGUGGAAAACGUUUGCUAACUCCUUC
rnacentral:lncRNA from 1 species